rnacentral:misc_RNA from 1 species
GAUGAAGAACGUAGCGAAUUGCGAUACGUAAUGUGAAUUGCAGAUUUUCAGUGAAUCAUCGAAUCUUUGAACGCACAUUGCGCCCCUUGGUAUUCCGAGGGGCAUGCCUGUUCGAGCGUCAUUAUAACCCCUCAAGCUCAGCUUGGUGUUGGGGCCUGCUGCACUGGCAGCCCUUAAAAUCAGUGGCGGCGCCAUCUGGCUCUAAGCGUAGUAAUUCUUCUCGCUAUGGAGUCCUGGUGGAUGCUUGCCAUCAACCCCCAAUUUUUCUAUGGUUGACCUCGGAUCAGGUAGGGAUACCCGCUGAACUUAAGCAUAUCAAUAAGCGGAGGA